CUAUGUACCUACUCACAGUGUACUUUAUAUGCUACUCUGUUGAUGUUUCGUUUUUGCUUUCUGUUACAUUUGCAAGUGUUUGGAAGUAUGAUCGUUUAAUAUGCGCUAGUUCUGGGGUGAUCAUUUCUUCCAAACAUUUAUGCACAUGUACUCAUUCAUACUGUAAAUUCUGGGUAAGAUAAGCUUGCGCAAGCACAUGGUAAAAUGCAGCGCAUUUUUAGCUGAAAGCUGUGGACUGCAGCACAGGAAGAGAGAGAGACAGCCAAAGCACAGGAAGAGGUGUAGCUUUUUGAAGCAUGAGUGGAGCAGAGCCGUCUUUCAAAAAAGGUUCUUUCCUUUUCUAAGGUUUUGGCUUAGCUUCAGCAACAGAAGCAGCCUGUGCGUUGUGGGCCACGCUUUCCUACGGUCUGCAUCUAGGCAAAACAUAGACUGGUGCUCUUCCUAGUGUCAGAGGGAGACAUUGAAAGAGGUUAGUCUUUCAGAAAACAGUUUAUUAAACUGUUUCGAAGGAAAUAAAACAGUCAAACUUUUUAUUAUCUCUGAAUAUGUAACAGGAAACUGCUCCAUAUGUCAUCCACUGGAUUGGUCAACAUGACUCUGUUGUUCAUCUGGAAAGGUGCCAAAGGACUGCCUGGGAGAGUCUGAGAUAGGCUUUGAUGGCGGGAGACGUUCUGAAAGAUUUUGUUCCAGACGGCAGGAAGAGGAUACCAUGGGAGGAGGACUGUUACAUAGACCUGCAGCCUGAGAGCUGCUGUCUGCGCACUAAGAUGAAAAUGGAGGAGCUCUGGAUACACAAGCAUCGGAAGCAGCUGAUGCAUUCAGUCUCCGGUCCAUUGCUGGAGAGCCUUGUGGUGCACAUGCAGAAACUGGCCUUGCUGACUCAGGACGAGGUCUCGCAGCUUCAGUCUGUGGGGCAGCUGCAGGAGAAGCUGUGUGCUGUCAUCGACAUCUUGGCCAGUAGAGGCCCCCAGGGCUCGGACAUGCUGCAGGAGUUCAUCGAAAACACGGAUAGCCAGCUCUAUGAACUAAUUACACUGCAAGAACCAAUAAUGCAGAAGCAUGGAGAAGCUUUGCAGAGCCGCUCUGGUGGCUGGAGCCCAGGCCUGCUGUCGGAGAGCUGGGCCGCAGACAGGUUCUCCAACUUACUGCUGGUUGAGGGACUGACAGACCUACAGCAGAAGGAGCAUGACGUCCUGCAGACUGAGGUCACCAAAGGCAGCUGGAGGCACAAUGCCAGGCAGCUGUGCCUGGACAAGCUGCUGAACCCUCUCACACGGGUCAGCAUGCCCCCGCGCAUCUUGCUCACGGUCGGGGUGGCUGGUAUUGGAAAGACCACCUUGGUACGCCAGUUUCUCCAACUGUGGAACUCGGGAAAGAUCUACCAUGAUGUGACUUUUGUCUUUCUCUUCAGUUUCUGGGAGCUGAACACAUAUGAGAAACUAUCAGCUGAACGCCUGGUUAAGCUGUUCUACCCCCAUGUGACAGAUAUGAGUUACGUCUUCAACGACACAACUAGGGUCUUGAUGGUCUUUGAUGGACUAGAUGAGUUCAAGUGUUCACUGGAUUUCUCUGAGGCACUGUCUUGCACGGACCCCAAAAAAGACGUCCCAGUUGAUAAUCUGAUAACUAACAUAAUUCGCGGGAACAUUUUCCCUGAAGCUUCUAUCUGGUUGACAUCCAGGCCGAAUGUUGCAGCUCAGAUACCUGGAGGGCUUGUGGACAGAAUGACUGAGAUACCAGGGCUCAAACACAAAGACAUACAAAAGUUUCUUCUUCACAUGUUCCAGGACGGAAGUCUAGCUGACCAGAUAUGGUGCCACAUCAAAGCAAACAAGAUCUUUCUAGUUAUGUGCUAUGUUCCUUGUGUAUGUUGGAUUGUUGGCUCCACCCUUGCUUUCCUCAUAAAAGGUGAGAUGCAGGAGUGCCUGCCUAGGACAUGGACUGAGCUGUACUCUUACUUUCUUAAGAUGAUUGUGGAGGGAGAAUCAAAGGAGAGAGAGAAAAUAGAGCAGAGCUACGGAAGCAGUCGGCGGCUAAUCGGGAGUCUGGGGAAGUUGGCGUUCUAUGGGCUAAUCAAGCGCAAGUACACCUUCUACGAACAAGACAUGAAGGCUUACGGCAUUGACCUGCCCUCCCUUCAGAGCCACCUCUGCAGCCGCCUCUUAAUCAAAGAGGAGUCCGUUACUUGCACCGCCUACAACUUCACACAUCUGACCAUGCAGGAGUUUCUGUCAGCUACUUUCUACUACACGGCCUCCAAGCGAGCUAUUUUUGACCUCUUCACAGAGAGCGGCAUGUCCUGGCCGAAGAUUGGCUUCAAUAAUCACUUCAAAAGUGCCCUGCAGCGCUCGCAGCAGUCAGAGUACGGGCAGUUGGAUAUGUUUGUGCGAUUUCUGUCAGGCAUGCUGUCGCCGCUAGUAGCUAAGCCUCUGUCUGGGCUGCAACUUCUGGCCAAAGAGGAAAACAACGCCUACCGAGCCCCAGCCAUAACCUUUCUACAGGGCCUGCUUAGCUGCGGUAGCACGGUGUCUCUCUGGGCCGUCAACGUGGUGCACUGCCUGCAGGAGCUUCAACACACAGAGUUAACACGCAACGUGGAGGAGGGUCUCCGCACGGGCAGCCUGGCAGGGAAGCUGACGGCCAGCACCUGCUCCAUCCUCGCCUACCUCCUGCAGAUGUCCGAGGAGUGCGCCGAAGAAACCAACCUUUCUGGCUGCCUUAAUUACUCUGUUGUUAAGAGUCUGUUGCCGCAGCUGCUGUUCUGCAGCAAUCUCAGACUUGAAAACAACCAUUUUAAAGAUGAUGUCAUGGAGUUACUCGGGAGCUUGCUAAGUGCAAAGGACUGUCACCUGCAGAGAAUCAGCCUAGCAGAAAACGCUGUGAGUAACAAGGGGACCAAGGCCAUUAGCAGAUCCCUGCUGGUGAACAGAAGCCUGACGUCUCUCGAUCUUCGCAGCAACAACAUUGGCCCCAAAGGAGCAAAGUCUCUUGCAGAAGCCCUGAAAAACAACCAGGUCCUGGUGUCAGUCAGCCUACAGAACAACGUCAUCGAGGAUGAGGGGGCCAAAGCCAUGGCGGAGGUGCUGUCCUGCAACCGCAAGCUUACAACACUUCACUUGCAGAAGAACUCCAUCGGUUCAGAAGGAGCCAGGAGUCUUGCGGGGGCGCUGCAGAAAAACCAGGUUCUAAGGGAAUUAAGCCUCUCCAGCAACCAGCUUGGCGAUAAGGGAUCAGAAGCACUAGCCCAGGCACUCAUGGUGAACCACAGCCUGAUCACCUUACACCUACAGAGUAACUCCAUCAGCAACAAAGGAGUGACAGCCCUCACCAAGGCUCUCAUGGUCAACAGAGGACUCGCCGAUUUAAAUCUUCGUGAGAACUCCAUCGGGGUGGAAGGAGCCAAAGAGAUUGCUAAGGCCCUACAGACAAACAGCACACUCAGGAAUCUAGAUCUGACGGCAAACUUGUUACACGACGAGGGAGCGAAGGCGAUUGCAAAGGCUGUGCAGUUCAACUGUGCCCUUACUUCACUUCACCUUCAGUGGAACUUCAUCAGGUCUACAGCUGCACAAGCCCUGGCUGCAGCCCUGACGACCAACACGGCCCUGCAGCUUCUGGAGUCCGUACACCUGAGAUUCCUGUCUAACCCGCUAAGCCGCACACUGGGGCCCCAGAUCACACUCACAACCCACCAGUUUCAUUUCAUUCUUUCCACAUUUAUAGAACCCACAAUAGGAUUUUAAUCAGGUUCCACGAUUUCAUACAAAAUUAUGCUUGCUGCCAUUUUUAAUAAUGCAGAAAGUUAAUGUUGCAUACAUGAAAUCAUUAUUUUAGUCUUUUAUUUUCAAAAAUAUACAUCAUAUUAGAGACAGGGGCGGCAUGGUGGUGCAGUGGUUAGCACUGUCGCCUCACACCUCUGGGACCCGGGUUCGAGUCUCCGCCUGGGUUACAUGUGUGUGGAGUUUGCAUGUUCUCCCCAUGUCGUCGUGGGGUUUCCUCCGGGUACUCCGGUUUCCCCCCGCAGUCCAAAAACAUGCUGAGGCUAAUUGGAGUUGCUAAAUUGCCCAUAGGUGUGCAUGAUGUUGUUCUCUGCCUCGUGCCCAUUGUUUCCGAGAUAGGCUCCGGACCCCCCACGACCCACUAGGAUAAGCGGUUUGGAAAAUGGAUGGAUGGAUAUUAGAGACAACCAGUAGUUUAAACCUUCAGGAGAACGCCAUCGGUGACGAGGGGAUGAUCGCGCUGGCGGAAGCCCUACAAGCAAACACAGCUCUCGGAACACUGUU